UCAAAGUUCGUUAUUUCUUUUUAAUGGACACGUGAAGGAAUUAAGAGGAAUGCUUGUUUUAAUAUUCACGGACUUUAAUUUUUUGCACUUAAGCAAAUACAAAGACUUCACAAAGAAUUUAGAUCACUUAUUUAAUUCUUUUUUUCCCCUCAGAAAAAAAAUGUGUCUGUGCGUUUCUUUAAUCGAGUUAUUUAUGGAAUUGUCGUGGUUUUGUUCCAUUAUCCGUGCAACAAUUCAUAGUUCAUUUUCUGCUUUAAUUGUUACUUAAAACAAUAAGAAAAAAAAGGCAAUGAAAAGACACGUUUGGGAGCAAUUUCCGAUGUAGAACGAUUUUUUUCCUCUCUCUCUCCCUUUUUUUGUAUUGUUAUCAACAAAUAGUGAUCUAUAGAAAGUUACUGACAAGUGGAUCAUGUAGUAGCCGAGUGGAUCAGAUGCCCGAAAUAAUCCAGUCCACACGAAAAAUAAGUAAAUACUCGUUAUUUAAGAACAUGUGACACGUGAAACUAACUUUUUGACGAAGCGGUGGUCGUGUUUUAUGGAAAAACGUGGUUUUAAAUUACCCACGUGUUUAUUAUGAAAAUACAGCUUCACGUUCACCCACGUGUUGAUUUGUAUGUAAAUAUGCUUGCAGUUCACCCACUUAUUGACUUAUACGAAAACAUAGCAGUUAAUUGACAAGUUGAUUCGUAUUGAAAUUUAAUUAUUGAUCCAUCCAUGUAUCGAUUCCGAAGAAAACACAGUGGUUUCUACGAAAACGCGACUGCAACUUACCCAUAAGUUGAUCUGUACUGAAACAUGGAGUGUUGCAGAUCAUUUACAUAUUUAUCCGUAUGGAAAUUUAUCUUCACGGUUCACCAGAAAGAUGAUUCAUAUGAAAACAUGAUUGCUACAUGAUUCUGACGAAAGCAUCGCUUGCAAUUUAUCAUGAAAUGAUUCUUAUGAAAACAUGGUUGAAGCUAACUCAUAAGUUCAUUAGUAUGGAAGUAUGAUUUACUGAUCACUUACAGGAAUCGUGUGGGAAGAUGUGGCAGAUUGCCACUUGUUGAUUGGUGUGAAACCAUAAUUGCAGAUCAUCAAGUCUAUUCGAAUGGCAACAUGCUUGCAGCUUUCACCAUAAGGCGAUUCACACGGAAACGUCUCAGUAAAUCAAUGCAACUGGAUACAUUUGAAUAUAAAAUAUAUAUUUUAAAAAGCCGUCCAUGGCAAUUUAAUGUAAUUAAAAACACAGAAUCUCCAAUAAUGACCACCUCUAAAAAGCGGACUUUUUUUUAUAUUUCCGACAGUGGCCGUCAUUCAGAGGUUCGAAGUUAUAAUAACCAGAAUCGAAAAGUGAAUUCGGAUCGACGAUAUUAACCAUAUUAGUAAAGGGCAUGUAAAAACACCAAUAACAAUUAAAGUGCCAGCAUGGAUUAAUUAUUAGAAACUAUUUUUUAAUUAUAAUCAGGGCGGUUUCUUUUUAAUUAGUUUACUUUAUUAAUCACCGAGCAAUCUCAUCAUCAAAAAUAAAGAAAGGAGAGUUAAUUAGAAGAGAAAAAAUUAUCUUGGGCAUUCAUUGUCCGUGCAUUAUUUCCUCGUGAUGUCAUCGUAAAGGUUAACGAAAUGAUUAUUAACGUCCGUCCUUGGCUUCGGAGGAUUUUCAAGAAACUAACUCCACGUUUGACGUAUUUAUAGACUCGAAAUUAAUUCUAAAACAAGAAAAAAAAAACACAUCUUAUCCCAUUGUUCGCCAUUUUCUUCUUCUUACUUCUCAUCUGUUUCAUUCAUUAUUUAAUAGGGUUUGUUCGUUUCUUCGCAUCGAUGAUCCUACUAAUCCUGACUUUUUGAAUCCUGUAAUUGUCUCUUCUUAACCAUUAACGAUUUUUUUUUUUAAUAUAAAUUAUUGUGAAUGAAUGGACGGGGAGAGAGGGUCGUAGAGGGUCGGCUGUGAUGUAAGUUUAAAUUUUUCAAUUGUUUUCGUCCUUGCGACUCUAUUCAUGCCCUUGAACUAAUGAAAUUUGUGCUUUGCCGGUUUGAAUUUCUGUUUACGAAACUCACUUGCAGUUUCAGUAGGAUUAAUUGGGUGAUUUUUUGGUAGGAAAUUAUACGUAAAACUGAAAAAUACGGUGUUUAGUGGGACAAGGUGCACAAAGCCAAGGAAAAAAAAAAAACAUAUAAACAUAUAAAUUUUAAUGUAAUAAAAAUGCAUAAAACGUUUUUUUAAGUUACAUAAAUUCAAGGACGAAAUUCCUUAGUAGGAUAAACAUAAUUUAUUAUAGAGUUCUAUAAUUUUCUUAAGAGGCUAAGGAUGUGUUGUAGUAGGAUCAAGUGUAUUCAAUUCCGUAGUAUUACAUAACACUCGGAAACAAGUGGAUAAACACGUCCACAUCGUGAAUUUUCUGUAGGAUAAAUACAAAGAAAUGGGAGAAGAAUAUUUGUAUUUUUAUAGGGAAGGAAAAUGCGGAUAAAGCUUGACAACAGAAUGAUUUUACGCUCCACGUGAGUCUUUUAUCUUUCGAAAAAUUCGUAAAUAUAUCCUUUCGUGGACUUUUACACAGAUAAAAAUCUUAGCCAACUGGACGGAGAUAGAGAUAAAAAUGCGAAAUCAAUAAACAAUGGCGUGCCAAACGAUCACGUGAUUGACUUCUCCCCCGUAUAAGACCGGUUUUGUACGCCUACGUACGAGUACCGUACCUGCUACGUACACGACUUGACAUUGGAGUCAUGCCUGAAUUCGCACGUAAGGAUUCUUUCGAAUCCUCUCCACCGUGUUCCUUGCCAAAUUUUCUUUCAUGCACUCGUCACGUGGCAUUUUUUUUUGUGCUCUGGCACGUUUAUGAAAUACGCAAAUUAUCAUUUAUUCUUUUCUUUUGUACGUGUUUCUCUGUAAAAUAAAAACCCGUGACAAAAUAGUUACGUAACAGAAGCACCUCGAUUCCCGUAUUCAAAAAAGUAGUGUUUUAACAGACGUCUAGCGUGCGACGCGAUAUUAGUUCGCGAUGUCGCGUCGCUCGAACAACGUACACCUUUUUUUUAUUAUUUAUCCUAUAGAAAAUUUACGGUGUGAACGUGUAUUCGAGUAUACAGUAUAAACAUGUUUUUAAUUUCUAUUAAAAAUACAUAAAAGUUAUUUUAAAUGCUUAUAUUGUUUACUCGAUACGUCGAGUGAAUAUUAUCAGAGCGACGCGACACCACGCAACUAAAUACUAUUAUUAUUAUUUAAUAAACUCGUGUAUUUUUUUUAAGUGAAAAAUUACUAAAUUCGAUUUAAAGUAUCAAAAUAUCUUAAAUAUUUUCGUAAUUUUUGAAUUCGAGCGUGUGUUUUAAGCGAAAGCGACGAAGCGACCGUCGCUUCUCGCUGUCGCGGUAGUGGAAUGUUGUAUUUCGCAGUUUGUUUUUACUUGAAUUUUAAUUAUGAAAUUUUCUUUCCUGUUCGUGAGCAAGCCACUAAAUUGUAGAAAUUUAUUUCAUUAAAAUCCGAAAAAAUAAACACAUUUAUGUGGACAAACUUUUAUAGAUUAUUCUAUCAACUAGAUCAAUAAAAUACAGAUGUUGGAGUCAACUUUUUAUCCUAAAAUGGGAACAAAACUUCUGCUGUACGUACACAUGACACACUUUUACACUUAUCGAUUCUACGCGAUGCCAAUUUAAUAAUAAAAAUGGGUUUUGACAACUAAAAUAAGGGCGUCACCAGAGUUUACACCUUUUCUUCUUACUCAUUACACCUGCUGCGACUAUAGAGUACGUCACACGUAAAAAUAACAGUUGUUUAGGGAGGUGGGAGGUUAAAGUUCCGA